rnacentral:rRNA from 1 species
CAGUCGCCACGGUAAUACGUAGGGUGCGAGCGUUAAUCGGAAUUACUGGGCGUAAAGCGUGCGCAGGCGGUCGUGUAAGACAGGUGUGAAAUCCCCGGGCUUAACCUGGGAACUGCGCUUGUGACUGCACAGCUAGAGUAUGGCAGAGGGGGGUGGAAUUCCACGUGUAGCAGUGAAAUGCGUAGAGAUGUGGAGGAACACCGAUGGCGAAGGCAGCCCCCUGGGCCAAUACUGACGCUCAUGCACGAAAGCGUGGGGAGCAAACAGGAUUAGAUACCCCCGUAGUCCCUGUCUCUUAUAC